UACGUAGGGGGCGAGCGUUGUCCGGAAUUAUUGGGCGUAAAGAGCUCGUAGGCGGCUUAGUAAGUCGGCGGUGAAAUACCGAGGCUCAACCUCGGCACUGCCGUCGAUACUGCUAUGGCUAGAGUUUGGUAGAGGAGAACGGAAUUCCCGGUGUAGCGGUGGAAUGCGCAGAUAUCGGGAGGAACACCCGUAGCGAAGGCGGUUCUCUGGGACGGUACUG
rnacentral:rRNA from 1 species